CACCCCAGCAGUUCCAUCAGAUACUCCGGGACAACAUUACUGGGGUGCCUGAGGAAUUUGAACUUUGCCGGGUAAAUGGACAGCGGGAGGUGGUGCCCCUUACAGAGCAGUGCCCAAUGGACAUACAUACCCACCAGGCACUGCAACGGUCCAAUUUAUAUCUUCGGCCAAAGGUCAGCUAAUAUGUUUACAUUUUGUAUUAUGUAAUGUAAUAUGUCGUGCUAUAAAUUAAUGCUGUUAAUUUCCUUUAGAAUUCCACCAGUGAGGAACUCACAAUGAGGCAAGUGUUUUUUUCUUGUUGUGGCCUACUUCACAUUGUUUUUAAGUUGUCCCGUUUGUCUCUGGUAAUAAGGUUAUAUUCUGACUCAUGACUAAUUGCUCUACAGCAACCCCACCACCACAGAAAACGUCGUGCCACCCGGACCUAUGACAAAUCCUGCCCCUGAGGAUGAAUUAUCCCCUGCCAUCCCUGAGAUCCAGCCUGGGGUAUCAGUGAGCAAUGCAUCUUCAGUCGGUGGAGAACAUGAGGCUUUGCUAAGGCAAGUGAUUGUAAUUCCAUUCUAACGUCUUGUAAUGGCAUACACAUAAAUGAAGCCUUGAGUCUUUGUGUUGGUUGUCAUUAUCAUUGGCUACAUACUACACAGAAAGAUACUUGAUGAUGUAAAGGGAAAUGGGUAAAAUGACUUUUUGGAGAAUCCUACUUUUUGAGAAUACCAUUGUCCCAAUCGGUCCCAA